rnacentral:rRNA from 1 species
CGCAGACUCCUACGGGAGGCAGCAGUAGGGAAUCUUUCACAAUGGGCGAAAGCCUGAUGGAGCAACGCCGCGUGCAGGAUGAAGGCCUUCGGGUUGUAAACUGCUUUUAUAAGCGAGAAAUAUGAUGGUAACUUAUGAAUAAGGAUCGGCUAACUACGUGCCAGCAGCCGCGGUAAUACGGAGGAUGCGAGCGUUAUCCGGAUUUAUUGGGUUUAAAGGGUGCGCAGGCGGUCUGUUAAGUCAGCGGUCAAAGCCCGGGGCUCAACCCCGGUCCGCCGUUGAGACUGGCAGUCUCGAGUUGGAGAGAAGUAUGCGGAAUGCGCGGUGUAGCGGUGAAAUGCAUAGAUAUCGCGCAGAACUCCGAUUGCGAAGGCAGCAUGCCGGCUCCACACUGACGCUGAGGCACGAAAGCGUGGGUAUCGAACAGGAUUAGAUACCCGUGUAGG